ACACUACACACACAUAUAUAUAUGUGAAGUACAUAGAUACAUUAAGAAAUUAUCUUUUGAGCGUCACGAUACACCUAGGUAUAUAUGUACUGCAACUCUGUGAAAUUGCCUUCCAUACUGCCGAUAUAGUGGGUGAAAAUAAUAAUUGCAAAACGUUCCCUAAGCAAUUGUCCCUCUAUAUCUUUCUCUAAAAAUGCAUAAAUAUAUAUGAUUUGGACAAAUGAAGAUGGAAAUGAAAUAUCACUCAACCUUUUAUCAUAUUUAAGGAAAAGAAAAAGGGAAAUGCUAAGACGACGACGGCCAAUGAAAUAAUGAAUGCAAAAGAAGAAAGAGCACUUCCAACAACACUUUUUCCUUUUCAAAAUUUUAUAGGAAUUUUUUCAUAACAAAAUUAAUCAACUCUGUUUAUUACAGACCCGUGAAGAUAAAUAUGGAUUAAGUUUAUGGCCGUCAAGAACAACAAAAGUUAUAUCUCUAUGUAGCUUUUUUUAUCUGCAUAGAUUAAGCUGGGUGUCUUUAUAAAUUUCUGAGAAAAAAUUACAAAAAAAUCCUGUGAAUGAGGAUGGAGUACCAAAAGAGGUCCGCUGUGAUCGAACUCCAUUGCGCGGGACACUCUGCUCCUGAGAUCAUCAGACUCCUGGUGUACCCAAAAAGAACCAUUUUCACCAUCAUUAAAAGACAAUGUUGUGAUUGUUUGAGCUUGCAUCAAAGAUUGACACUAGCAAACAGAAAAUACACCAUAUUGUAUGGUCCUGAUAUUGUAACAAGCCAAUCACGUACUAUUUUGGUUUUUUCGUUUCCGUUCAUAUAAUUUUGAUAUUAAAGAUGCACCACACUUUGAAAGGCAACUGUCAAAAAUGAAGAUUGGACAAAUGGACAAAAUAAAUUCAACUAAAUUUUAGAAUUCCAUAUUUUUAUAUUAUCCGAUUGAAGCCACUAUUCAUCUUUCAACAAAUCCGUAGCAAUUGUAUAUUUUAUAA
rnacentral:lncRNA from 1 species